UGUAGAGAUGUUUAACGCAAUUUCGAGCGGUAACUUCCCAGUCCCUUCUGGAGCUGUAUUCACCGACGUCAUGGUUGAUUUGGCGACUUAUCGACGAUUACAUCCAUAUGAUAGAUCUGCUCACCCAUUGUUUUCGCCUCAGGACAUCAGACUGACCUCGUUUGUAUACAGUCCGUUCCACAUACAGGCUCUUGCACAUACACUUUGCGAGUCAGGAUUCUUCUACUUAGGAACUCCGGACCGCGUGCGAUGUUUCUACUGUGGCUAUGAAGAUACCGUCCGUGAUGGAGAGGUUAGACUAUGGAGGAUGCAUGCCCGGCAAUGCCCUUAUUGCCCAUUGGCCCAAAGACACUUACAAUAAACGACGAAUGACGUGUGUGCUUUAUGUUUCUCGUAAAAGUGUGUUUCCACGCGCUAUUGCAUUUAUGCAAAGCUAGAACGACGAUAACAUGUAUGUGUGCAAAGUAAGAACUUUGUUAAUAAUGAUGUAAUGUUACAUUCUGAGCGAAAUUUCCAUCCGAAUAAUUGAAUUUAUCACGUGUGUUAAUACAUUUUAUAUUUAAGUUGA